UUUUACAAAAAUAGUCCACUGAAACGUGUUUCUGAAAACAUUUUAAGCGAGAAAUGUACAUACAGUUGCUAAAUCUUUUGAACCUGCUUAAUU